GCGGCAGGCCUAACACAUGCAAGUCGAGCGCGCCCUUCGGGGUGAGCGGCGGACGGGUGAGUAACGCGUGGGAACGUGCCCUUUGCUGCGGAAUAGCCACUGGAAACGGUGAGUAAUACCGCAUGAGCCCUUCGAGGGAAAGAUUUAUCGGCAAGGGAUCGGCCCGCGUUGGAUUAGGUAGUUGGUGGGGUAAUGGCCUACCAAGCCGACGAUCCAUAGCUGGUUUCAGAGGAUGAUCAGCCACACUGGGACUGAGACACGGCCCAGACUCCUACCGGAGGCAGCAGUGGGGAAUCUUAGACAAUGGGCGCAAGCCUGAUCUAGCCAUGCCGCGUGAGUGACGAAGGCCCUAGGGUCGUAAAGCUCUUUCGCCUGUGAAGAUAAUGACGGUAGCAGGUAAAGAAACCCCGGCUAACUCCGUGCCAGCAGCCGCGGUAAUACGGAGGGGGUUAGCGUUGUUCGGAAUUACUGGGCGUAAAGCGCGCGUAGGCGGACCAUCAAGUUGGGGGUGAAAUCCCGGGGCUCAACCCCGGAACU
rnacentral:rRNA from 1 species